UGCGAUUCUUGUGGCAGCUGUUGUCGGUGGUGAAAUAUUGCUCAUUGUUCCCGAAUGUUUUCUCCUGGAAGAAAUUGGUACAGUUGCUCCAGUACCCGGCAGAUAUGAUGUGAGGAAUAUGAUGGGGGGAAAGACGGUCAUUUUGACCGGAACGAACAGUGGCAUAGUGAAAACCUUUGCCGGGAAGCGGCACAAACUCCAGUGUUCAGUAAUGAAGGAAGAACAAAAAGUUGAUGUGCUCAUCUACAACACAGGCAUCUACCAGUUUCCCUACACCAAGACAGGCGGGUUUCGAGAUGCAGCUGGUGUUCAACCACCUGGAUGACUUCCUUCUCACCCACCUCGCCCCGGACUUCCUCAAGCAGCUCUCCUCCCCCAGCCGCUUGGUGGUGGUCUCCUCCAAUCUCUACAAGUAUGGCAGCAUCAACUUUCGAAGACCUCAACUGUUGUGGUUUGUUGAAGUUAUUUAGUGUAUAUUGUAUUCCUUAGCACAAACCAGUUUGCAACGGAAAAUGAAAAAAACCCGAAAGUUUCUUAUGAGACAAGAGUUCAGUGAGAGCAGCUGCAACAAAGUGUUCUGUUACAGCCAGAGCAAGCUGGCUAAUCUUCCCGUGAGCUGACCCGACACUGGAAGACGAGGGCGUCACGGUCAACACACUCUCCCCAGGCAUGGUGAGGACCAGGCUGGGGAGGCACAUCUACCUCCCCCUUCCUGGCAAAACCUCUCCUCUCCCUGGCCUCGCUGGCCUUCUUCAAGAGCCCACUGGAGGGCGCAUGGACGCCGCUCUACCUGGCGUGUUCGCCCAACAUGGAGGGAGUGGUUGGGAAGUGCUUCGCUAAUUGCGAGGAGCUGAUGCCCAAGGUAAUGGAUGAUCACUCGGUCAAGAGGCUGUGGAACCUGAGUGAAAGCAUGUUGGGGAUCAAGUCUCAGUAAGAGACCUGGGAUCCAGACAGUCUUCUAGAGACGAUCCAAGAUACUUUUCCCUAUGAAUCAAGUGAAUUGGGGGAUGAUUUAUUGAGACUGUUUGGGAUUUCAUUGGAACUGGGAUCAGUGGGCAAAGUUCCCGAUGUUUUUAAUUAACCUUGGUGUGGGUGUGUGCAUCUGUGAGAGAUGUGCAAAUAUUGUGUGGAUGGAGUGUGAGUGGGAUUGGAGGUAUGCAUGCCGAGAGUGUUAAUAAUGUCAGCAAUGUGCCUGUGAAACAGAGAAGAUCCAUUGAGAAUUUCUACAUGCAGUGUUCCAUGAAUGUGUAACUAAGUAAACCAGUUCCCAUAGGAACCUACCAGA